rnacentral:rRNA from 1 species
GAGAUCGGGAUAACACCUCGGAAACAGAUGCUAAUACCGGAUAACAACAGAUGAUGCCUAUCAACUGUUUAAAAGAUGGUUCUGCUAUCACUCUUGGAUGGACCUGCGGUGCAUUAGCUAGUUGGUAGGGUAACGGCCUACCAAGGCGAUGAUGCAUAGCCGAGUUGAGAGACUGAUCGGCCACAUUGGGACUGAGACACGGCCCAAACUCCUACGGGAGGCAGCAGGC